rnacentral:lncRNA from 1 species
CAGAUUAGGUUAGAAGCCGAAAUAUUCAUAAAUAAGGCAGAGUAUCAUGCAAGAAGUUUAGACAAUUUGCCUUGAGCUGGAUAAAUAGUCAGUGUGGCUGAAUAAAUUUGUGUGAUGCCAAAAAGAGACUUUGGAAAUAAUGAAGGGAUAAUUUGUCCAAGGUAUGUUUUUUUGUGUCCAGCCAAGGUCAUUGGCUUCUUGGGACUUAAAAGUAUGAAUUCAUGGAGCAAAAAUGGUAACAACGCAUGGGCCAAAGAGUUCACAAUUUAAAUCUCUCCACAGGAAUGGAGUGCACUGGCUGUUCUGUAAUGGGGGGAAGGUGAAGCAGUGAAGUGAAGCAAAGCAGUGGCUCAGAGAACCAUGUAUUUUAAUAGCUCUUCUCAACAUGUGAAUAUCAAAAUCACAAAGGUUUCCUCUCAAGCAAUGCUGCAGCUUCCCAGCUGCAAAAUCCUCAAAAAGAACGGCUACAAGGAGAAAUCAGAAGCAGCUGACUGGCCUGUGGAAGCACAUGGAAGAAGUCAUGAUAAUGUCCUUCCUGGAAUGAGGAGUGAAGUGGGCCUGGUGGCUGCAGGUGCAUUUGCCAAGUCAAACAUCAUCUACCUGCCCCACACUGACAACACACAACAGAGGCUGCUUUCAGGCAAUUUUAUUUCCACAGAACCAUUAGACAGGAGACCCUGAUUCAUCACAGGCAACAGAAACACCACAAUUACACAAUUAUCUGGUGAUUUAAAAAUUAAGCUGUUUAAAUGUGAAGGCAUUAUACCAAUGAGACGCAUUUAAUCACACAUGGAACCAGGCUCCCCCCAAGCCUGCAGCUCGUGUUAGCAGCGCUCACUGCAGCGUGGGCUUUGCUUUGUGACAGGGUCACACUUCUCUCACCCUUCCAUUCAGAAAAUGACUGUGCUUGCCUGUGAAUUGUUGUAAUCAGCACCAUUUAGAAAUGAGAUGAUGUGCUUAAAUGGUGCAGAAAGAAUGAUCAGCCCCCAAAGCUGAACUUUAGACUUAUUUUCCACAAACACCUUUGAAUAAUCAAGCAGUGACCAUGCAGAGCACACUGUGCUGAUGAAGCCUGCACAGGCUUGGCUCCUCCCUGUCACACAGGGAUAACUUCUCUCAUAUUCCCAGCCAGAGGGGGUGGAAUUUAAAUGCCGAACCUGGAACAAAAAUGCACUAGCUCAGAAUUGGAACUGGGAAAUUCAGAACAAAAACUUGUGUUCUACUACGUAUAAACACCACAGGUCUGGUUACCUCCACUAGGCUAACAUCUCAUUAGCAUUGCUCUUAAAAAUAUUAUAUAUUUUUUAAAAGGCUCUUAAAAAUAUUAUAUUUUUUAAUACAGGCUCUUGAAAAUAUUAUAUUUUUUUUAGAACCGUAAUGAUUAAACAUUGUACAAUUAUAUCUAUAGAAAUGUAAUGACUGUUACUAUUAAUCACCAUCAGAUUUUAUAGAAAUGUAAUGGUCUCUGUGUGUUGCUAUUAAUUAGUAUUAAUUACUGCAACAUUUAAUAAAAAUAUAAUAAUUUUUGUUUGUUACUACUAU